UACAGGGGGUGCGAGCGUUAAUCGGAAUUACUGGGCGUAAAGCGCGCGUAGGCGGCUUUGCAAGUCGGGCGUGAAAUCCCCAGGCUUAACCUGGGAACUGCAUUCGAGACUGCAUUGCUAGAGUAUGGGAGAGGGAAGUGGAAUUUCCGGUGUAGCGGUGAAAUGCGUAGAUAUCGGAAGGAACAUCAGUGGCGAAAGCGACUUCCUGGACCAAUACUGACGCUCAGGUGCGAAAGCGUGGGGAGCAAACAGG
rnacentral:rRNA from 1 species